AGUGAACGCUGGCGGUAGGCCUAACACAUGCAAGUCGAACGGCAGCACAGUAAGAGCUUGCUCUUACGGGUGGCGAGUGGCGGACGGGUGAAGAAUACAUCGGAAUCUACUUUUUCGUGGGGGAUAACGUAGGGAAACUUACGCUAAUACCGCAUACGACCUACGUGUGAAAGCAGGGGAUCUUCGGACCUUGCGCGAUUGAAUGAGCCGAUGUCGGAUUAGCUAGUUGGCGGGGUAAAGGCCCACCAAGGCGACGAUCCGUAGCUGGUCUGAUAGGAUGAUCAGCCACACUGGAACUGAGACAAGGUCCAGACUACUACGGGAGGCAGCAGUGGGGAAUAUUGGACAAUGGGCGCAAGCCUGAUCCAGCCAUACCGCGUGGGUGAAGAAGGCCUUCGGGUUGUAAAGCCCUUUUGUUGGGAAAGAAAAGCAGCAGGUUAAUACCCCGCUGUUCUGACGGUACCCAAAGAAUAAGCACCGGCUAACUUCGUG
rnacentral:rRNA from 1 species